rnacentral:rRNA from 1 species
GAUGAACGCUAGCUACAGGCUUAACACAUGCAAGUCGAGGGGAAACGGCAUCGAAAGCUUGCUUUUGAUGGGCGUCGACCGGCGCACGGGUGAGUAACGCGUAUCCAACCUGCCCAUCACUUGGGAAUAACCUUGCGAAAGUAAGACUAAUGCCCAAUGACAUCCCACGAAGGCAUCCGAAUGGGAUUAAAGAUUUAUCGGUGAUGGAUGGGGAUGCGUCUGAUUAGCUUGUUGGCGGGGUGACGGCCCACCAAGGCAACGAUCAGUAGGGGUUCUGAGAGGAGGGUCCCCCACAUUGGAACUGAGACACGGUCCAAACUCCUACGGGAGGCAGCAGUGAGGAAUAUUGGUCAAUGGGCGAGAGCCUGAACCAGCCAAGUAGCGUGCAGGAUGACGGCCCUAUGGGUUGUAAACUGCUUUUAUAAGGGAAUAAAGUGGGUCACGUGUGACUUUUUGCAUGUACCUUAUGAAUAAGGACCGGCUAAGUCCGUG